rnacentral:tRNA from 1 species
GGGGCUCUAGCUCAGAUGGCAGAGCGACGGUCGACGAGGGCGCCCUUUGGUCGGCUGUGUCGGUGGUUCGAGUCCACCGGGUCCCA